rnacentral:rRNA from 1 species
UGGGGAAUAUUGUUACAAUGGGCGAAAGCCUGAUCCAGCCAUGCCGCGUGUGUGAAGAAGGUCUUCGGAUUGUAAAGCACUUUAAGUUGGGAGGAAGGGCAGUAAGUUAAUACCUUGCUGUUUUGACGUUACCAAUAGAAUAAGCACCGGCUAACUUCGUGCCAGCAGCCGCGGUAAUACGAAGGGUGCAAGCGUUAAUCGGAAUUACUGGGCGUAAAGCGCGCGUAGGUGGUUCAGCAAGUUGGAUGUGAAAUCCCCGGGCUCAACCUGGGAACUGCAUCCAAAACUACUGAGCUAGAGUACGGUAGAGGGUGGUGGAAUUUCCUGUGUAGCGGUGAAAUGCGUAGAUAUAGGAAGGAACACCAGUGGCGAAGGCGACCACCUGGACUGAUACUGACACUGAGGUGCGAAAGCGNGGGGAGCAAACAGGAUUAGAUACCCUGGUAGUCCACGCCGUAAACGAUGUCGACUAGCCGUUGGGAUCCUUGAGAUCUUAGUGGCGCAGCUAACGCGAUAAAGUCGACCGCCUGGGGAGUACGGCCGCAAGGUUAA